UACGUAGGGGGCUAGCGUUGUCCGGAAUCAUUGGGCGUAAAGAGCGUGUAGGCGGUCCGGUAAGUCCGCUGUGAAAGUCGGGGGGCUCAACCCUCGAAUGCCGGUGGAUACUGUCGGGCUAGAGUGCGGGAAGAGGCGAGUGGAAUUCCUGGUGUAGCGGUGAAAUGCGCAGAUAUCAGGAAGAACACCCGUGGCGGAAGGCGGCUCUCUGGGACGGUACUGGACGCUGAGACGCGAAAGCGUGGGGAGCGAACAGG
rnacentral:rRNA from 1 species